rnacentral:rRNA from 1 species
AGCAGCCGCGGUAAUUCCAGCUCCAAUAGCGUAUAUUAAAGUUGUUGCAGUUAAAAAGCUCGUAGUUGAAUUUCGGGAUCAAUUUGUCGGUCGUGCCUCGGUACGUACUGGCAUUAUUGGUUUCUACCUUCUGAAGAACCUUGAUGUCGUUAAUUUGGUGUCUUGGGGAAUCAGGACUGUUACUUUGAAAAAAUUAGAGUGUUUAAAGUAGGCAUACGCUUGAAUACAUUAGCAUGGAAUAAUGAAAUAGGACGUUUUGAUUCUAUUUUGUUGGUUUCUAGGAUCGACGUAAUGAUUAAUAGGGAUAGUUGGGGGCAUUAGUAUUCAAUUGUCAGAGGUGAAAUUCUUGGAUUUAUUGAAGACUAACUACUGCGAAAGCAUUUGCCAAGGAUGUUUUCAUUAAUCAAGAACGAAAGUUAGGGGAUCGAAGACGAUCAGAUACCGUCGUAGUCUUAACCAUAAACUAUGCCGACUAGGGAUCGGAUGAUGUUAUUUUUAAUGACUCAUUCGGCGCCUUACG